rnacentral:rRNA from 1 species
GGCCUAACACAUGCAAGUCGAACGGUAACAGGAAACAGCUUGCUGUUUCGCUGACGAGUGGCGGACGGGUGAGUAAUGUCUGGGAAACUGCCUGAUGGAGGGGGAUAACUACUGGAAACGGUAGCUAAUACCGCAUAACGUCGCAAGACCAAAGAGGGGGACCCUCGGGCCUCUUGCCAUCGGAUGUGCCCAGAUGGGAUUAGCUUGUUGGUGGGGUAACGGCUCACCAAGGCGACGAUCCCUAGCUGGUCUGAGAGGAUGACCAGCCACACUGGAACUGAGACACGGUCCAGACUCCUACGGGAGGCAGCAGUGGGGAAUAUUGCACAAUGGGCGCAAGCCUGAUGCAGCCAUGCCGCGUGUAUGAAGAAGGCCUUCGGGUUGUAAAGUACUUUCAGCGGGGAGGAAGGGAGUAAAGUUAAUACCUUUGCUCAUUGACGUUACCCGCAGAAGAAGCACCGGCUAACUCCGUGCCAGCAGCCGCGGUAAUACGGAGGGUGCAAGCGUUAAUCGGAAUUACUGGGCGUAAAGCGCACGCAGGCGGUUUGUUAAGUCAGAUGUGAAAUCCCCGGGCUCAACCUGGGAACUGCAUCUGAUACUGGCAAGCUUGAGUCUCGUAGAGGGGGGUAGAAUUCCAGGUGUAGCGGUGAAAUGCGUAGAGAUCUGGAGGAA